rnacentral:rRNA from 1 species
UACGUAGGGUGCAAGCGUUGUCCGGAAUUAUUGGGCGUAAAGAGCUCGUAGGCGGUUUGUCGCGUCUGCUGUGAAAACUGGGGGCUCAACCCCCAGCCUGCAGUGGGUACGGGCAGACUAGAGUGCGGUAGGGGAGAUUGGAAUUCCUGGUGUAGCGGUGGAAUGCGCAGAUAUCAGGAGGGACACCGAUGGCGAAGGCAGAUCUCUGGGCCAUUACUGACGCUGAGGAGCGAAAGCGUGGGGAGCGAACAGG